UUCACAGAAACUUUGCCAGACUGCUGCCUU
rnacentral:piRNA from 1 species